GAACUGCGAUAAGUAAUGUGAAUUGCAGAAUUCAGUGAAUCAUCGAGUCUUUGAACGCACAUUGCGCCCCCUGGCAUUCCGGGGGGCAUGCCUGUCCGAGCGUCAUUGCUGCCCUUCAAGCCCGGCUUGUGUGUUGGGUCGUCGUCCCCCCCGGGGGACGGACCCGAAAGGCAGCGGCGGCACCGUGUCCGGUCCUCGAGCGUAUGGGGCUUUGUCACCCGCUCGAUUAGGAUCGGCCGGGCGCCCGCCGGCGUCAAACCCCAAUCUUUCUAAGGUUGACCUCGGAUCAGGUAGGGAUACCCGCUGAACUUAAGC
rnacentral:misc_RNA from 1 species